rnacentral:piRNA from 1 species
CAUGUUCCACUGCUUUGCCAAU